rnacentral:lncRNA from 1 species
AAGGAAUCACACCGACAUCAAGACGAUGGGAGACUUCCAUAAAAAUAUGAUCUCAUGCCAGAACAGAUCGGCCUUCUGGGAUCCAAGAUGAAGUCUAACAAAAAAAGGAGAAACAAGCUGGGACGUGACACCUGUGCUGCUCCCCGUGUGCCCAUGGCAGCCGGAACCCGGCCCUGGGGAGGAAAGGCACCACGUGGCGGGUGUUAGGAGGGCACCUGCUGCCCGUAACAUCCCCACCACGCGUGGUUGGGAGCCCCAGCCUGAUGCUGACCGGCUCCCUGAUGGUCCUCCACAGCUGGGGCACCACACAAAAGUCUCCUCCUGCCUGAAGCCCCAGCAAGAGACUGGGACCCAGUGCAGUGUGUCAAACUGGUCUGAGCACCAGGGCUGAGUGUCAGGAAGAGUGGUUACCUGUGGCAUCACUCCAGUGGGCUCAAACUGGAUAAAGCCAGCAUUUUAGACAAUUGCUCUAAUCGCUAGGAAGAAGCGCGACAAAAGUUGGUGUAUGGACGGGCAUUUGGACCUCUAACUCCUGUGGGAAGCUGUUCCCUUUCCAGUCCAAGGAGUCUCAUAUGAACAAAAGUUAUUACUUCUUUCACCUUUCAUCUGAGUUUAUUUCGAGAACUGAAGAAUUAGUUGGAGCUCCGUGAGAUGAAAUCUGAACCUUCACCUAUUGCAGGAACCACACAGAACCAUAGGAUCAUUCAGGUUGGAAAAGACCUUCAAAGUCACCAAGUCCAACCAUCAGCCUGGCCUACAGAGACCCAUCACUAAACCACCUCCCUUGGUGCCACAUCCAUGUGUCUCUUGAAUACCUCCAGGGAUGGGGACUCCACCCCUUCUCCGGGCAGAGUCUCGUGCUAUGCCACCAGGUCCAAAAUCAGCUCUGGUGGCUUUGCCCAAGAGGCUCAGCAGUCCAACAGAGCCCUUGGUGUGGAUGAGGACCCCAGUACUCUGCAGGCUCUGCUGUGAACUCAACGAGACUGUCCAUAGUCCAUGUCUGUCUUGGAAUGAGCAGGGUGGUAGAUGUUUGGCUAGUAGCUCUCCCCAAAGACUCUUCUCCUCCCAAAAGCAAGCAAAACAAAACCAAAAACCUUUGAAUGUACUUCUGUGUAGAGGUGGUUGGAAGCCUUGAAAGUCUACUAAAACUGCAGCCAAAGUACAUCAGCAUUUCAAUUUACUGAAACUGGUGGAUAUUUAAAUUUGUUUCAGAUGUCACAGGAGUUUGAACUUAGAAGAACUGUAUGGAGAAGAGUGAAGCAAUAUGUCUGCUGGUCUCCUGAAAUAUAUCUGAGGACUAGAAUCUGAUGUAUGCAGUCUGAUUUCCCUGCCUCCCUUCACAGCUCUGCUGAGGCUCGGAGGAAGCCACUUGGCCGGCUGCUGAUGGUGAGGGAGGUUUUUGCUUUCAGCUGCUGCCCUGGUGCCCAGGGAGGACAAAUUUGCCUGCUCUUAGCACAAGUGUGUGCAGAACUUUGAUGGUCCUGGAGGAGAUGAGGAGUUACUGUAAAGUGUUCACCUCACCUGAUUUAUUUACUGUUUUUCAAACUACAGUGGGAUAGAUUUUGGCUAUAAGUGCCAUGAAACCUGAAAAGGAGGGUCGAAACAUCUUUUUAUUUAUUUACUUUUGCCUGAUUGCUAAAUGGGGAAAAGCCAGAGAAGAGCUCUGAGAGCCAGCAGUGAGUCAGCAAUGCCAGUAGGGUGUGUUGGGAAGAUUGGGUUUCAGCUCCUUGCCCUUCCCAGCCUGUCUCCAAAGAACAGCCUUCUGUAAUCUUAGUUGUGAUUGAAUAUUUAACUGUGCGGAAAUGGUAGCCUGCACCUAAUAAUGUCUCCUUGAUGAGGACACUGCUUCAGACCUAGGAUAGUGGUGCAGGCCAAGGCUUGGGUAAAGAUCUGGGGCCCAGGUCAUGGAGCCAUGCAAAUGGAGCAGCUGAUGACCUUUCUUGUAAUGAAAUUUCAUUACGUUUCAAAGGAACACUUUACUUAAAAUGAAAAAGGGAACAUCAGCACUUGCCCUCAUGAGGGCAGCUCUGUUUUUCCAAGGAGAUGUUUAGUAAGCCCCUUUGGCUGAUGGAGUCAGAGA